rnacentral:miRNA from 1 species
GGGAUCUUGUUAAAAUACAGAUUUUGAUUCAGGAGAUCUGGGGUGAGGUUUGAGAUUUUGCAUUUUUAACAAGAUC